UACGUAGGGUGCGAGCGUUGUCCGGAAUUACUGGGCGUAAAGCGUGCGCAGGCGGUUAUGCAAGACAGAUGUGAAAUCCCCGGGCUCAACCUGGGAACUGCAUUUGUGACUGCAUGGCUAGAGUACGGUAGAGGGGGAUGGAAUUCCGCGUGUAGCAGUGAAAUGCGUAGAUAUGCGGAGGAACACCGAUGGCGAAGGCAAUCCCCUGGACCUGUACUGACGCUCAUGCACGAAAGCGUGGGGAGCAAACAGG
rnacentral:rRNA from 1 species